GUGGGGAAUAUUGCACAAUGGGGGAAACCCUGAUGCAGCAACGCCGCGUGAGUGAUGAAGGUUUUCGGAUCGUAAAGCUCUGUCUUCAGGGACGAUAAUGACGGUACCUGAGGAGGAAGCCACGGCUAACUACGUGCCAGCAGCCGCGGUAAUACGUAGGUGGCGAGCGUUGUCCGGAUUUACUGGGCGUAAAGGGAGCGUAGGCGGAUUUUUAAGUGAGAUGUGAAAUACCCGGGCUCAACUUGGGUGCUGCAUUUCAAACUGGAAGUCUAGAGUGCAGGAGAGGAGAGUGGAAUUCCUAGUGUAGCGGUGAAAUGCGUAGAGAUUAGGAAGAACACCAGUGGCGAAGGCGACUCUCUGGACUGUAACUGACGCUGAGGCUCGAAAGCGUGGGGAGCAAACAGGAUUAGAUACCCGAGUAGUCC
rnacentral:rRNA from 1 species